UAUGUUUUGAAGCUGUCUGAUUUUUUUCUGUUUUCUCUUCUUCCCAAAUGCAGUUUGCUCAAAAAAGCCUGGAGUGGGAGGAGUGGUAAUGGUUCUUAGUGUGGAAUGGAAGUCCUAGGUAUAUCCUGAUGACUGACUAGUACUGCUAGGAAAGGAUCGAGGAAAGAAGGGAGUCUUUACCUGACAUGGAGCAAAUGGAAAUUAUUAUAAAAGGCUGGUAUAGCUUAAUGCUUCUAAUUUAAAGACCUAAUUUAGGUCACAUUGCAUUUCUAUUACUGAUGAGAAAUGCUGUUUCUUUGAAAGGAAAAAAUUCCCUAAUAUUUUGUGAUAUUGCACUAGUUUUGCUGCUUUGCAGCUAUGAUGUAAAUUGGCUUUCUUGCUAAGGAGUACAAUGUGAACAAACAGCUUUUGAAAACAGAACUGGAUCUGGAGCUGGGUGCUUCCUGAUUGAGAUUCCACACACACACACCCACACACCCUUUUCUAGUGUAAAAUCUGUGCAACUCUUUGCUUUCUAUUUAUGUAUUCAUUUGUGUUUAUAUAAAGGAUGAAGCUUAAUGAAGUCUAUGCAGUCACAGCAGGAUAAACCACUCUGAGAUCAGAUGUGGCCCUGUGCUGUGUGUGAGAGCAAGACCUUUGAGCUUCAAAAAUAGAUGUUGAGUCUUCAGCCUCAGAGGGAGAACAGGGUUACAGGUGAUCAAACCAUAACAGGAGAAUGGACUUGAGAAGAGCAAUACAGAGGUUUUUUGUGCAUGUGAAUAUGCAUUUGAAUCUACAGAAUGGACAGCAAAUCAGUCCACUUGCUACUGGUAUGUACAGGAUUAGAACAACUGCUUCGAUGGAAUUAAGUAUGCCUAAUUGUAUGUGUUUGAGAAUGUGAUGCUUUUUUUCUCAGCCUUGCCAGUUUAGAGAAAGACUAAAUUGAGAUACAUUUUUCAUAUCUUUCUUUUGAUCAUUUAUUGUGGUGUUGUCGUACUUCCUUUCCAGAUUAAAUAUAUGAACUAUGUCUGUUAAUAGUUCUUUCAGAGAGUACUGCCCUUGAGAUUUUAUUCUCCAAAAUAUGGUCUUUGAAUAUAUCAAAUAUGUCAAGAACACCUGAACACUUAGUACUAUGCAAAUAUUUUUAAACCUACAAACAUGAACUGAACACUAUUAUGCAAACUAGUGGAUUUUUUUUGUUGUUUUUAGUGCACAUAAUGCAGUUGGACCAUAGCCUUUGUGUAUCUCUAUGGAGCUAUGGAGAUGUUGUUUAAAAAUAUAUUCUUAAAAUAGGAUGUCUGAUUUUGAAUUAAAAGUCAGGACAAACUAAAUUAAUAACUUAAUCCCUCCAAGUAGUAGCAGUAAAAGUUGUAUCUUAAAGUAGGUACCAGCCUAGGUAUUUUGAACACUCUAACAAACCGGGAAGCCAAGAACAGAUAAGCAAAAAAGCUAACACCCAUACUUCUCUAUCAUUUCAUUAUGUGCAUGAGUGACUGUUAAAAGGCCUAGAUGGUAGAAUAAUGCCAUCUAUUUGUCAGUUCCCUUCAUCCCCUCCAAAAAUUGGUCAAACAAAUUUGAAAGAAGGUUGAAUUCUUAAAGAUAAUGACAUUCUUUCAAGAUUCAUGAUAAUCAAUGGAAAGAGAGCAGUGGCAGGAACAGCAGGCAGAGGUCAACCAUUAGCCAUUCAUUUGGCACCAGCCUCAGCAAGCACGCACUCCUCACUACUAGAGUUAAAACACAGGGACUGGAAUGAAGGUCAGGACUGUUGGUAAAGAAAGAUCAGAGAAAACUGUAGGAAACAAAGCCUCAAAAGUUUUGGUCUUUACAAGGCUACUUGAUGUUUUUCAGUUUAACUUUAACCAAUGUCCAUUUAAAAAUACUCUGCACCAAAAAAAUAAGGUCACAUGCAAACAGCAUACCCAUCUUUCCCCUCUUUACACAUCCCCUCUAUUCAGUCCAAGUUCUUGAGUUUUAAAGAUGCAGCAUUAUGAAGAAGAACUUUCUUCGUGGUUUUUCAUUUGCAUCUUUAUAUAAGAUAUUUGCACCUACAUCUACAGGAAGGAGCCAUCUCUUGUUCUGUCUGCAUUUCAAUCUGCUUGAAGAAUAAUGUGGUGUAGUCUGAAGGCUCUAUGCUCUAUUAUGUUUUAAGGUCUUCUGACAUCCUACCUGAUAUACCGAGAUGUAUAUCUACAAAAAAGUCUCUGCAGAUAAUUUUCACAUUGUUAAAGAGAGAAGCUUGAAUAAAGGCUGUGUCUUGGCUGGACAGAAUAAACAGUAGAGUCAGUAUUUAGGAAUCCACAGCCAGAUAGAGCCACUGUCCAGAAAAGAAACCGAACUGUAUCCAUGUACCUUACUGGCUUGGUGAACAGUCAUGGUUUUAACCUGUUUUUGAAAGCUUAGAUAAAGGGAAGUUCUUGAAUAUUUUAUAUUAUGGUCACAGGUGGUGAAGAGAAAUUAAGGAAGAGAUUAGUUAGGGAAGUGAAAUUUUAUGUGCCGUAAUAUGAAGAGAAAUGUAGUAACUCUUUCAUGGGUUUUUUUUUUUUUGUACAAAUCAGAAGCAUCAAUGAAGUUCUUUCAAGUUCUGUCUGAAUUCUUUAGAUUUGAGAAACAAUUAUUAUUGUAAAUAUUGCUUUGCUGUCCUCUUUGCUGUUUGAGUAGCUUUUCAUGGUUUGUUGCUCUUAUGUAUCAUAAACAUUGAUGUUAAUCACAAAGGAAGGGCAAUAAAGGUAAUUCACUGUAAUAGCGUAGAUAUGAGUGUGUCAACAUUUGCAGGUCUCUGAACCAGGUUUCUGAAUUUUCAGGUCUCUCCUGAGCCAGUGCUAUUUCUUUUCUACCCUGCUCAUCUUUUUUCUCUCACCUCAGUGUAAAAUUAACUUUUAAGGUGCGACUUUUCAUUUUACAGUUCAAGGAAAGAAAAAAAGCAGCUAGAGGCAGUGAAUGGUUAGCUAUGGUUAUGUAACAAUAACAUAACCAUGAAACUCAGUUCCUUUGUGUCGUUUGCUUAAUCCAGAAGCAAGAAUGCACAUGCAAUUAGGAAAAGGAGGCCAUGACAGUGAUGGCUAUCACCGCUAUGGCUAGUUAUAGAGGCUUCCAACUUAGAUUCACAUCAGUGAAUAGUAUUAUUUUAUGGUUAUGGACAAUACUGUUGGAUAAUGAUUUUUGAGGUGGGUAGUCAUAUUAAUUUAUUGAACACUUAAGGAAAAAUCAGAGGGAAACAUCAGUUGUGCAGGGUUUUUUUUGUGCUGAUGGUACAUUUCUAUUGAUGGAUCACAUUCCUGGGAAAAGGAGGUUUCAAGAUAAGUAGUGCAUUCUUUCAAAUUGAAAAAUAUGAAAUGUGGUAAGAGUUUCUGGGGACCUGACUGUGAAUAAUCAGUACUAGGAGUUUUGCCUGCCUGUAAGACCCAGAUUUGCUUCCUUGUAAGAGUCUAUUGGUCCUUAGGGCCUAAAAGAAGCAAAUGUUGACAGCAGUGCUUAAAUCAGUGUGGUGGUUUUUACUGCAGGCAUUUUUUUGCUUUGCAGAGGCAUAAUGGUCAUGCUGCUGCAUGGGGUUUUUUUCCUAUCAGACAUUAGAUUUUCCAGGUGAAUAGGACUUUAAGCACUCAACUGACAUGGCAUUCCUCCAAGAAAUUAUGUAAGCAAGUUGGAAUCUUCUUUGAACUAUUGCAAAAUACAUCCACUUCCUCAACAAAAAACUUGCUACCAGUAAACACCUUCAUGCUAUUGUUGCACAAACAGUAAUGGAUUAUGCUGUCAAGUUUAUGUCAUGUUGGUGGCAGAUGGCACAAAAUAAACAACCUGCUGUUUUGAUUUCUGUGUGCUUUGACUUUUUGUCCAGAUGAGCAAUAGGUGUAGCUUAUGUUUA